rnacentral:lncRNA from 1 species
AAUCACAGUAAGUAAAACAGCAGGAGCAAACUCAAAUUUCUGCAGCACACUUGAAGGCUCGAAGAGAACUCAAAGUUGUUUCGGAAAGCAAGAGUAGAAGUAUAGGGAAGAAGAGAGCAGAAAGCAUAGUGCUUAAUACUAUGAGUGAGAGUGUAAUUUAGUUGUGAAAGCUUCAGUGUUAAAGCGUAUCAAGCCAUGUUUUAAGUGCAGAAAAAGUAUGUCUCAAGUGAAAAAGGG